rnacentral:rRNA from 1 species
UGGGGAAUUUUGGACAAUGGACGCAAGUCUGAUCCAGCCAUGCCGCGUGCGGGAAGAAGGCCUUCGGGUUGUAAACCGCUUUUGUCAGGGAAGAAACGAGUUUCUCUAAUACAGAGACUUAAUGACGGUACCUGAAGAAUAAGCACCGGCUAACUACGUGCCAGCAGCCGCGGUAAUACGUAGGGUGCAAGCGUUAAUCGGAAUUACUGGGCGUAAAGCGUGCGCAGGCGGUUAUGUAAGACAGAUGUGAAAUCCCCGGGCUCAACCUGGGAACUGCAUUUGUGACUGCGUAGCUAGGGAACGGCAGAGGAGGAUGAAAUUCCGGGUGUAGCAGUGAAAUGCGUAGAUAUGCGGAGGAAAACCGAUGGCGAAGGCGAUCCCCUGGGGCUGUACUGACGCUCAUGCACAAAAGCGUGGGGGGCAAAAA